UUGUGUAUUUUUGGCAAAAGCAUGGCCGCCGUGUUGCUGUGCCAGGCCACUGUUAUCAUCGCCCAUUUCGCAGUCAUUUCUCAUUGGUGGAUGCAGGAACGUGUCUCACUCGUACGACUCGUACACCACGCCAAUAAUUGUCACGACACGAUUAAUUUUGUUGUUGUUUUGUUUUCUUUAAUACUUCCACACAAAAAUGGCGUCGACAGGAAAUGUGCCGAAAACGAGGGGGGAGGACAAACAGAAAUUCCAACUGUUUUGUUCAGUUUUUAUCUCGUUUGGCCGAGAACGUCUAAUAAAAAGUUCUCUUUUUUUUUGUCUGCUUUUUUUUUGUUUUCCCCCCCCCAAUUUUUUUGUCUGUUUAGUAGGGCCUACAUUUCCGGUGGUCGCCAUUUUUCUGCAAACUUCAGAGCACACAGACGAAUGAAAACAAUCCACGCACAGUUGAAUUAUUAUUCAGAUGUAAACGGUCUUGACCUAGAUCAAUGUCGGUGAACGUGUAAAAGUUCAUUGGACUACUUUUACUUCUCCUCCACGUGUUGAUGUGGUUUACAUUCCAUCGUAUUUUUCUUUCUUUUCUCAACUUAUUCUAUUUUUGGGAAAGGGGAAACAAAACAAAACAAAAAAUGUAUUUUUCAAAGAGGUGUUUUUCUCAGUUGUGGAAAAGAAAAGAAAAAAAAGCACGACAACAUGCAACCGUUCGUGUUUCGCUAUUUGUUAUUGUUGUUUAGUAUCUUACGUGCCGGACGCCAUCUGCUGAACGUUCAUGUUGGUCUAAUUUGCAUAACGAAUGGCGCCAGACACGAUCCAACCAACUUAUUUUAUUGUUCAUUUAACAUAAUCCUAUCGACGUAAUACACCCCACGUAUUCAACCCUUUCGAACAGACAAAAGUUUUUGCAGAAACCCAAGUCUCUUUUGUGUGUGUGUGUGUGUGUCUCAGUUUGUAUCCAAAAAUAAAGUUAAGGAAGGAGAGCGAAAACGGCAGCAGCAAACUCUGCGUGAAUUGAAUGUCAAAUGUUGGCAUGACAUCACACCGGCAGCCGAACAAAAGACUCUCUAUCAGUUCAAAGAGUUUGAUUACCAUCAUCUAUUGUCUUUAUUUUGAAAGAACAACACGAGAUUAGACAAAAACAUUCUUUUCAAAACAGCCGACCAUCGCUGCGAGACCUUUUACCAGACGGACACUGAAUAAUUUUAAACGAGUUUUUCUAGUCGAAUAAUGUUGUUUGGAGAAAUGUCCCAAAAGCUGGAGCCAUACCAACGCCAUUUUAACGCUUUACAAUGCAAAAUCUUGACAAAAGAAACAGUGAACUUUAUGGACAAUUGGCCAACCGACAUAGCUCAUUGAAUGGAUUUGGACGAAAUGAAUUUGCAUAACGAGCGAGACGCACGUAGACGAAGAAAAUAAUCAAAUCAUUUUGGGAAAACGGUUUUACUUCUCCGUCGCUGUUCCACGAGGGGAGAGGUAGGGUAGAACAGAGACUCGAUCCCCCUCGGGCAAGAGCCCUGAUGAUGAACAAGACGAAAAAAGGAAAAGAAAAAAAAAACGCCACGUGGAAAGGACCGCCCCUUUUUCGGGUCUUCCCAACCUCUACUUGGAUAUGUGCGUCGUAGUAUUUCUCGCCCAGUUCAUUUAUAGCCGUGAAACGGGGUGGGGGGAGAUACGAGCGCCACGUGGAGGCGAUCGUUGCAACUAUCGAUUUUUUUUUUGUUUCUUUUUCUUUUCUUUUAUUUAUAUAUAUAUUUUCCAUGUGUCCCAUUCUUUGUUGGGGUGUCGGUUAUAUUUUACGCCUUUUUCUUAUCCUCCUCGCAAGUUCGGCACGUGGAGUCCUCACAAUUCCCGAAUGACGUCACCAAUUUCUUUUUACAAUCAACCUGUGGAUAAAGACAAUUGCUGUUGGAUGAGGAACUAUUGUGUUUUAAAAACCUGGGAAUGCGGAAACCUUCAUAUUAAAAACCAUAUGGAAAAAGAAUUUUGUUGUAACUCUUACUCCCCGACCAAAAAGUUGUUAUACAAGGGGGACGGAUGCUGGUUUCAAUUGUAUUGAGCAUGGCCGAAAAAAAGGGGGAAGCCGGUGUCAUGGCUGCCAGCCCCUGUCUAUAACGGACGAUUCCCUUCCCUCUUUCUCUCUAUUCUAUUCUAGGAAAUAAUAAAUGUGGGCCUAUAGUAGGAAACUCUGAAUAGGAUCGAUAUCAAACUUAAAAAAAACCGGUGUCUGUGUUUUUUCUAUUUUCAUUCGACGAAUGCAUUUGGAUGACGAGUCUCUUUUUAAGGACAAAAAAUAAAAUAAAUGGAAAAUUCUAGUUUUUAUCGGAUACCGAACCCUUGGGCACGUGUAGACGGAUACACACACUGAUAUCAGCCGGCCGAUUUGGAAGGGCAAUGCUCAAACCUUAAUGUAUACUCGAGUCGGGGGGGAAAGAGAAAAAAGGCGAACGAUAAAAUGUGUAUGUUUAAGGAAAAAAAAAAAAAAAAAGAUUCAUUUGUUUGUAUUUAAUUUCUUCUUUAAUUAUCGCUAGGGGGAGACUGUAGAAUGUCGCGUAUACAAACGAUGAGGGUUGGUAUAGUCAUUCCUGGCCAUGGUUUUCCCUCGUCCAAGUACAUUUAUCAAAGUUUCAUGAAUUUCUAAUGAAUCGGUUGGAUGCCUCACGCUUUAUUCCAAACUGUAUGUGUUGCGCGUACAAAUGCGUAGAACUUUUAACUAUUUGACUUGCCCCAGGAGAAACUUUUUUGUUUGUAGAGGGCCGGUUCUCCGUGUUUGAUACAAGCGUCUGGGAAAGUUUACAAGAAAACUCCUUCGAGAACACACCCCACACUGACUGGCUAUUACCGUCUGGCAAGGGCAGACUCUCUCUCCUCCUCCCUUUGUCGUAAUAAAGAAGAAAAGUUUGGCAUUUACCCCAGAAGAGAAGGGGAGCCUCAGGGAUUUUUCCUUUUUUCUUUUUUUUUUCUUAAGAUGACAUGUGCCUUUAUCAGUGUAAACUAUUGGUUACUGGACGCUUUCUUUUAUUAUCUUUUUCGUUGCAUCUUUCUUCCUUUCCAUUUCUUUCAUUGAGUUUGCUGACGCGGCCGUUAGAUGGCGAUUUUUAAGCCCUAGAUGGAAAAAUGAAGUAUUUGGCAAAAAUCCAACGCUCCAGUAGCCGUUGUUGUGAUUUAUAAUUGCCAGCAAAAAAAAAAAAAAAAAAGCUUAUUUUUUUUCAGUCUACAAGAUUUCGACCGCUGGCGAGUCGUUCAAUCGGGACAGGGAUCAACAUUUCGGCAUUUGUUUCGUUUAAAAUAGUGUUUUUUAAAUUUUUCUCUGUCCAGAUGGCCACAAAAACACUGUGAAAGUCAAGAGGAUCUAUAAAAAUGGACAAAGCAUAUAAAAGAUGGAAUAAUUUGUUAAAGAAAUUCUUUCCUUUCUUAUUAUUGAAAUUUUUCGAGACAGCUGCCAGUGCAGGAGAGCCGUUGGCCGUCCCAAUGGUAGAUCGGUGUCAGAUUACAAAGGCCGGCAUACCAUCCCUUCCGAAGAAUGAAGACCUGUGUACAGCGGACGUUUCCGGCGUUAUCUUCUCAACUACAUUCUCAGAUUAAAGGCCUCAGUGUAGAAACAAUUGCUUACCUUGGCAUUUGUGUGUGUUAAUGAUUGGAUCUUAAAUACUGCAAUAAAUUGGCUAAAAGUCUGCAA